rnacentral:rRNA from 1 species
CCUACGGGUGGCAGCAGUGAGGAAUAUUGGUCAAUGGACGCAAGUCUGACCCAGCCAUGCCGCGUGCAGGAAGACGGCUCUAUGGGUUGUAAACUGCUUUUGUACGAGGGUAAACUCCGAUACGCGUAUUUUUCUGAAAGUAUCGUACGAAUAAGGAUCGGCUAACUCCGUGCCAGCAGCCGCGGUAAUACGGAGGAUUCAAGCGUUAUCCGGAUUUAUUGGGUUUAAGGGGUGCGUAGGCGGUCGGAUAAGUUAGAGGUGAAAUCCCGAGGCUCAACUUCGGAAUUACUUCUGAAACUGUUAGGCUAGAGAGUAGUGGAGGUAGGCGGAAUGUAUGGUGUAGCGGUGAAAUGCUUAGAGAUCAUACAGAACACCGAUUGCGAAGGCAGCUUACCAAGCUACGUCUGACGUUGAGGCACGAAAGCGUGGGGAGCAAACAGGAUUAGAUACCCGAGUAGUC